AGCGAACGCUGGCGGCAGGCCUAACACAUGCAAGUCGAACGAACCUUUCGGGGUUAGUGGCGGACGGGUGAGUAACACGUGGGAACGUGCCUUUAGGUUCGGAAUAACUCAGGGAAACUUGUGCUAAUACCGAAUGUGCCCUUCGGGGGAAAGAUUAAUCGCCUUUAGAGCGGCCCGCGUCUGAUUAGCUAGUUGGUUGAGGUAAUGGCUCACCAAGGCGACGAUCAGUAGCUGGUCUGAGAGGAUGAUCAGCCACAUUGGGACUGAGACACGGCCCAAACUCCUACGGGAGGCGGCAGUGGGGAAUCUUGCGCAAUGGGCGAAAGCCUGACGCAGCCAUGCCGCGUGAAUGAUGAAGGUCUUAGGAUUGUAAAAUUCUUUCACCGGGGACGAUAAUGACGGUACCCGGAGAAGAAGCCCCGGCUAACUUCGUG
rnacentral:rRNA from 1 species